ensembl:lncRNA
CCUUUUUUUUCCUUUUUUUUUCUAGACUUUUGCAAAAGGUUGGUUCAACCCUCAAGCACAGGCCUAUACCUAAGAUUUUCUUUAUCUAUUGCGUAGGUUUACUCCUCUAAUACAAACAUGUUAAAUGAUUUCAGGGUCACAGGGUCUGAAAGGAUCAACCAGGAUGAAAGUCAAGAGCAUGUGUAUUCCUCUCUUUCCCACGGCGAUGCUUGUGUUUAUGAGACAGUGAGAACCUCUGGAGAUGCUAAACCAGGUGAUGACUGUAGGGAUGAUUAUGAACCCAUGUGAGGCCCUGAGCAUGCUGGACCAGGUGGACCAUUGAUGGGAAAAACAAAUCUUGUUAUUGAAGAAAGGCAAUGAGAGAUAAAUAUCUAAGAAAAACAAAAGAAAUUUUAAAAAAUGUAUUCUGUGGUGCAGUUUGUGAAAAUGGUUGUAUUAUCAAUCGGACUUUCUCUGCCUCUUCUUUUUUCUUUCAUAUAAUAGUGAAAAAUAAAUAUUGUAACAAUGCUAACUUGUUAGAUUAUGGUGGUCUAUAUGGCCCCAAAUACUAAUGUGUAAAAGUGUAUAAGUAAUGCUACAGGAAC